CACGUAGGGUGCGAGCGUUUGUCCGGAAUUAACUGGGCGUAAAGGGCGCGUUAGGCGGCCGUUCUAAGUCAGGACGUGAAACUCCCCAGGCUUAACGUUGGGAACUGCGUCUGAUGACUGGGAGGCUUGAGUGCGGGAAAGGGAUGUGGAAUUCCAAGGUGUAGCGGUGAAAUGCGUAGACUAUCUGGAGGAACACCGGUGGCGAAGGCGGCAUCCUGGACCGGUACUGACGCUGA
rnacentral:rRNA from 1 species